GGGUUGUGAGGUUAAGCGACUAAGCGUACACGGUGGAUGCCCUGGCAGUCAGAGGCGAUGAAGGACGUGCUAAUCUGCGAUAAGCGUCGGUAAGGUGAUAUGAACCGUUAUAACCGGCGAUUUCCGAAUGGGGAAACCCAGUGUGAUUCGUCACACUAUCAUUAACUGAAUCCAUAGGUUAAUGAGGCGAACCGGGGGAACUGAAACAUCUAAGUACCCCGAGGAAAAGAAAUCAACCGAGAUUCCCCCAGUAGCGGCGAGCGAACGGGGAGCAGCCCAGAGUCUGAAUCAGUGUGUGUGUUAGUGGAAGCGUCUGGAAAGGCGCGCGAUACAGGGUGACAGCCCCGUACACAAAAAUGCACAUGCUGUGAGCUCGAUGAGUAGGGCGGGACACGUGGUAUCCUGUCUGAAUAUGGGGGGACCAUCCUCCAAGGCUAAAUACUCCUGACUGACCGAUAGUGAACCAGUACCGUGAGGGAAAGGCGAAAAGAACCCCGGCGAGGGGAGUGAAAAAGAACCUGAAACCGUGUACGUACAAGCAGUGGGAGCACGCUUAGGCGUGUGACCGCGUACCUUUUGUAUAAUGGGUCAGCGACUUAUAUUCUGUAGCAAGGUUAACCGAAUAGGGGAGCCGAAGGGAAACCGAGUCUUAACUGGGCGUUAAGUUGCAGGGUAUAGACCCGAAACCCGGUGAUCUAGCCAUGGGCAGGUUGAAGGUUGGGUAACACUAACUGGAGGACCGAACCGACUAAUGUUGAAAAAUUAGCGGAUGACUUGUGGCUGGGGGUGAAAGGCCAAUCAAACCGGGAGAUAGCUGGUUCUCCCCGAAAGCUAUUUAGGUAGCGCCUCGUGAACUCAUCUCCGGGGGUAGAGCACUGUUUCGGCAAGGGGGUCAUCCCGACUUACCAACCCGAUGCAAACUGCGAAUACCGGAGAAUGUUAUCACGGGAGACACACGGCGGGUGCUAACGUCCGUCGUGAAGAGGGAAACAACCCAGACCGCCAGCUAAGGUCCCAAAGUCAUGGUUAAGUGGGAAACGAUGUGGGAAGGCCCAGACAGCCAGGAUGUUGGCUUAGAAGCAGCCAUCAUUUAAAGAAAGCGUAAUAGCUCACUGGUCGAGUCGGCCUGCGCGGAAGAUGUAACGGGGCUAAACCAUGCACCGAAGCUGCGGCAACGACGCUUAUGCGUUGUUGGGUAGGGGAGCGUUCUGUAAGCCUGUGAAGGUGUGCUGUGAGGCAUGCUGGAGGUAUCAGAAGUGCGAAUGCUGACAUAAGUAACGAUAAAGCGGGUGAAAAGCCCGCUCGCCGGAAGACCAAGGGUUCCUGUCCAACGUUAAUCGGGGCAGGGUGAGUCGACCCCUAAGGCGAGGCCGAAAGGCGUAGUCGAUGGGAAACAGGUUAAUAUUCCUGUACUUGGUGUUACUGCGAAGGGGGGACGGAGAAGGCUAUGUUGGCCGGGCGACGGUUGUCCCGGUUUAAGCGUGUAGGCUGGUUUUCCAGGCAAAUCCGGAAAAUCAAGGCUGAGGCGUGAUGACGAGGCACUACGGUGCUGAAGCAACAAAUGCCCUGCUUCCAGGAAAAGCCUCUAAGCAUCAGGUAACAUCAAAUCGUACCCCAAACCGACACAGGUGGUCAGGUAGAGAAUACCAAGGCGCUUGAGAGAACUCGGGUGAAGGAACUAGGCAAAAUGGUGCCGUAACUUCGGGAGAAGGCACGCUGAUAUGUAGGUGAGGUCCCUCGCGGAUGGAGCUGAAAUCAGUCGAAGAUACCAGCUGGCUGCAACUGUUUAUUAAAAACACAGCACUGUGCAAACACGAAAGUGGACGUAUACGGUGUGACGCCUGCCCGGU
rnacentral:rRNA from 1 species